CAGCUGGCCAGCACAGAUGGAGCCCUCAGCAAUCAGGGCUAGUAGCCAAUAUAAGUGAGGCAGAGAAAAGAGAGGCCCUUUUCAGGGGCUGUGGGUUUCAACUCUCUGGAUUUUGACCUGAGGGUACUCAGCAGAGCAGUGCUGGCUGCUCUGCUCCCCUGGGCUGCACGUCAGGGAUGCUCUAACACCUCACAACUGCAACUGCCUCUGCUUCAGUCUUGGUCCUUUGGAUAAAGACCUCAUAAAGGCCAACUGAGGAGCUGCUGUGAGCAGAAUGUAUCUCAACUUCAAUAAACACGGGCCUGAACAGAGUCCCAAUCUGGAAUCCAUGCUGGCCGAACUCCUGGAGGCUUGCUGCUACCUGGGUACCAUAAAGCUUGAAAGCCAAGCAGGAAGGGGUAAAAUCUACAAUUUGUCAUCAACAGGAGCUCCACCAGAUCUUUUCUUCCAAUAACUAUAAACCCUGCUUGCUGAGGUAGAACAAGGCUUUGAGUUAGAGCAACUGCAGGAGGCAAAAAAGAAUGCCAGAGAUAAACAUGCAUGAAAUGGAUGGAAAUGACAGGAAGGAACCGAUGGGACCUGCAAACAGAGUGGCUGCACUGGAAUUGGAGGCUGUGAUUGUAUCUACAAUUAUCUUUUGAUUAAUGGAGUGUUUGACUGCUUUUUGGGAUUGUUGUGAAGUCAGAUUGGGUCUGGAAGCAGUAUUUUAUUCACGGGAAGUUUGUUUCCUUGGUACUUUGAGUCAGCACAAUAUUUAUAUCAGACUUGAAAACUCUCCAAGCAAGUUUCAGGCAAUUCUUCAAAUAAAAGGAAUGAACUGCAGAUGACUGAAGACACAAGGUUUUUAUUUUCUGAAACUUGGACCUCUGUCUCACACAAGGGCUCAGUUCUUGCCUCUUACCUACAGAGUUUGCCAGGACCAUCUGCCUUUGAGCUGCCUGGUGCAGGCAGUGGAGUGCCAGUAAGUACCAAUGCUUUUACAGCUCUGUGCAGGAAGGGGCUGUUCCCUGCUACCAGCCCACCAAGGGCCUAAAAGUCACCAGCUUUUAUAACACAUAUGACUGUACAGGUUCUGGAUUAGAUUUACUACAUCACUCCUGCUAUAUGGUUUUUUGAGAACAGUGAUCUUGGUGCAGACAAAUUUUUUAUAGAGUAAAUUCUAGUAAAAAAACCUUUCCAUAUAUAUACAUCUGCCAAUCAUAGAUAAAAGUCACAGUGAUAUUGCAUAAGUUAGCACUGCUAAUGGAACACUAGAACUACUUUAUAACAUUAAAAACUGUCCUCUUCCUUUUUAAUCCAGGGGUUUUUUUCACCUCAAUUAAUACAAUUGACAGACAUCAUUCUCUCUCACAUGUAUGUCUUGUUUAGUAGAAGCACUACAUUCCAGUCACUCAUAAAGGAAAAGAAAAUAUUCACAAGGGGAAAAGUGCUCUUUUAAAGCCUGUGUAAAAACAAUUCUUUUUAUAAAGUUGCUUGUCCCUACUCAAGUUCCUAUUCAUGUUAGCCCAGUUUAAUUCAACUGAAGGCAAAACAGAAAUUUCUAGCAAGACAUUUUCUUUGUUUCUUCAAUGCAAUCCUGAAUAAGAAAAAUUAAGUUACAGUGAAGAUUACAGUGAAUAAAUGAACCAGAAGGGGUAUAGGCAUGCAUGCCUUAGGGAGAAGUAUGCUACUCUUCUUGGUGUAAAACUGGAAUAUUUUGAAUUCUUAUGGUAAUUUUUCUUGCCUGCUAACCUGAAACUUUAUUUUUACUCUCUGUGUUGGCCUAAACACUACUGCAGACCCUUACAAUGAACCUCUUAAGUUAAGACUGGUGCCAGCCCGUAAGUACUGACCUGACCCUGUGCGAUGCAGUGAGACAAGUAACUUCUUCUCCUGUAAAGGGCUGAACAAGCCUACCAGUGUCUCUCUCUGAAAUACAGCUGUUAAUUUGGAAGUGUUAACAUGUACCACCUGGUCCUGUGAGGAUGGGAUUAGCCAAGGGUAUCAUUAACACUAAUAACUUGUUGAAUGAAAAAUAAAAAUGAAAGCUGAGGAAGUCUGCAAGGGGUGUAAUUGCUCCAAAAUUAACUUUCCAAUAUUUCUACCUUAUGGAAUGUCAUAUUUGCUCAGAAAUGUAGACAGCCAAUGAGCAGAUAGUACGUUUAUUGAUGAACAAGUGAAAAAAGCAUAGUGUUUAUUUUUCCACCUUUGAUGUUGAUUGCACCUUGUUUUCUUCCACUUGUGUCAGCCCUUGUAGUCCAGGGCCAGCUAGAGUGUGUGUGUGACUGUGUAGCUACAGAAACACAUUGUCCAGCUGAUGUGUGUCCACCUCACUGUUUCUGCCACAGCAUCCUUGUCACUGAGUGAAAACCAUUCAUCCCAAUCAGCACUGUCAGAGACAUUCCUUAAAAGUGUCAGAAGUGAAUUGCUAGGUAAAUAAGGACAUGAAGGAUUGGGGGGAUG